AAAAAGGGAAAUGUGAAAAGUUGGAUUUGAUGCCAUAAAUUACAUCUCUCAGCGCCCCAAUUUCCGGGGGCUGCGUAUAAAAAGAAACUGGCUUUU
ensembl:ncRNA K02G10.10 ncRNA